GCAGGUGACUCUAACCCCUGGGUCUCCGUGUACCUCACGGACAGUGGUCGCUGCCCUGUGGGGAGCCCCCGGACAUCACGGGCUCCACUUCCAGCCUUGAAGUCUUUUACAAAUCAAAGCAAAGAGAAGAUUUGUGGAUGUUGAAUAUGCAAGGAGCUGAAGAGAGAGAGAUUGGAAGAGAGAUUUGUCCAGGUUGGAUGAACAAGUCUGCUCCAGAGCAGGAUGGCACUGAUAUUGAGUUGCCAGGGGUAGCAUCAAAGAGAUCCCAAGAGGAUGAAUACCAGGAUUCUACAUUUGAAGAAAAACAUAUACGUGAGAACAUGAAGGAAAACCCUCCCAGAGAGGCUCCUGGACCACGGUUUUUCCAAGAAGGUUUUGGAGCAAUAACUUUUAUCCAUAAGGAAGCACCUCCAGAAAUGAUUAGCCAGGAAUAUCAUUUAGAGAGAAGCUUGCUUUUGACCUCAAGUCUUGUUACACAUCUCAG